rnacentral:rRNA from 1 species
CUACGGGCGGCACCAGUGGGGAAUAUUGGACAAUGGGGGAAACCCUGAUCCAGCAAUGCCGCGUGUGUGAAGAAGGCCUGCGGGUUGUAAAGCACUUUCGGUUGGGAGGACUGCUUCUAGCACUAAUAUUGUUGGAAGUUGACGUUACCUUCAGAAGAAGCACCGGCUAACUCCGUGCCAGCAGCCGCGGUAAUACGGAGGGUGCAAGCGUUAAUCGGAAUUACUGGGCGUAAAGCGCGCGUAGGCGGCUAGAUCAGUCGGGUGUGAAAGCCCCGGGCUUAACCGGGGAACUGCAUCCGAUACUGUCUAGCUUGAGUACAGGAGAGGAGAGUGGAAUUCCACAUGUAGCGGUGAAAUGCGUAGAUAUGUGGAGGAACACCAAUGGCGAAGGCAGCUCUCUGGCCUGAUACUGACGCUGAGGUGCGAAAGCGUGGGGAGGAAACAGGAUUAGAUACCCUAGUAGUC